ensembl:lncRNA
ACAGGGCAUGAACACCAGGGUGGGAAAUUUUUUGUACAUCUUCAAAUUUUCUUACCACAGGUAUUCAAUCCAUUUUUACUUUAGUUUUACAUGUCUGGACGACUUCCUGGAAACUGCAACACUUGGGACUACCCAAGGAUUGAGACUUCUAUUAUGUUCACUGGAGCCCUAAUGAUCGCAGCCAUUUCAGGAGAUGCCAUCAAUUACAGCCAGGAGCUCAUUCAGAAGUGAAAGAUGAGUUCCAUUCUCUGUUACUUAGAGUUUUAUGGCCCCUGCAUUUUGAGAAUGCAACUGCAUAUGAGAACCAAACUUCUUGGAAAUUCUAACGGGCAUGUCAUAGGCAGCCUAGCUACUUUAACAGAGCAUUUCAAUCAGCCUUUCCCCACGGUUUGGCCAAAUAAUUAAUAUGUUUCCUGGCAACAUACUGAGAAAGAAAGCUGGUAUAGAAUCAUUCUAACAACAGACCAAGAUGAGAGAAGAAGCCAAAUCUACUCCAUUUCUCAACCUUCAGUCUUCUUGCAUAUGGGAAAAAGCAUGGGACAAUUGCCUCCACUAUCAGCAGCUAACAUUUCUGGACCUCACACCUUGGUCAGUUCCCCAAUUGACCACUCCAGGUGAAGAGUCUGCAUCACCCUCUAUCCUGCCUCCAUUACAGAUAAAAAGUGGAUCUUGGACCCAUAUCAAUGAAUUAAUGAUGUGAAAGAUGUCACUUGGAGCUGUCUAAAGUGAUCCUAGACAAGAUAAAUAAAAAUCUUUUACUGUACCCUGACAAUGUGGAACACAUUUUAUCACCCUUACCCAGCACUCUACUGAAUAAAACUACUUUUUACAUAGCAGGGAGUUCCUUUUUCCUUUUAAUUUUCAAUUCCACAGACUACUCUGCCUGUCAUGGACUGCAUCCUUUCUACAGUGAAGAGAAUGAACCAUUGUGGUAAUUGAAGAGGAAUUUCCCUGUGUUUUUAAAUCCACAUAUAUUUGAUUAGCAUUUUUAUAAGUAAAUAGGUAGUAAUUAGCAGGUAAACUUUGGAGAGAUGCUACAAGGCUCACUGAAUACAUUACAGAAAUCAAUUCUUCUGGUACAGUGAUUGUCUAGUUAUGGCACAUUGACCUCUGGAAAGUUUCUCAAGAGAAAUGUAGAUCUUAUUUAUAUUAGUGAUAUUUUACUGAUGCUGCCAAAAUAAUGGCAUUCAUUUUGGAGCAAUGAGGUAGAAUAAGCUUUUAAAGAAUAAGCCCCUUUUUACCUUAAUAAAUAGAAUUAGGUCAUGGAGGAUUGGAUUUGAGAGGAACCACAAUGAUAAUAUCAGGCAGUCUUUGAACUCAUAGGAGUAGAUAUUGAGAGAGAAAGUGGUGAAAUGGUUGAGAGUAUGAACCAGGAAACCAGACUAUAAAACUAGUUGGAUUUUAAUGCAUUCUAAAUAUCCAUGUAACAUUGAGCAAGUGACAAUCUCUGUGUACCUCAAUUUCUUUUCUUUAAAAUGGGGAUCAUCAGUAACAGUAGCUGACCAUUGAAGUAGUUUUAGGGUUGCAUGGCAUGGUACAUACCUGUAAUUAAAAAAAAAAAAAAAAUGUUGCUGUACAUGGUGGCUCACUCCAGUAAUCCCAGAACUUUGGGAGGCCAAGGUAGGUGGAUCGUUUGAACCCAGAAGUACAAGACGAACCUGGGGCAACAUGGGGAAAUCCUGUCUCUAUGAAAAACACAAAACUUAGCCACCCCUGUAAUCCCAGCUAUGCAUGAGGCUGAGGAUGAGGAAUCACUUGAGCUUAGGAGGUCGAGGCUACAGUGAGCCAUGAUUGUGCCACUGUAUUCCAGCCUAGAUGACAGAGUGAGA